UGUGUUGUGUGUGUGUGUGUGUGUGUGUAGGCUGUUCUCUCUGCCGUGUCUGCAGUAUCUGGAUGUCUCCUAUAACCUCCUCAGGUCUCUCAGCAGUGACAUCGGGACCCUCAGGAGUCUGCGGUGUCUGAAUGUGGAAGGGAAUCAGCUGGUGUGUGUCCCCGCGGCUCUGCUGAGUGUGUGUGUGUCGGAGCUGCGUCUGUCUGGGAAUUACACACACACGUUACUGUGGCGGGAGAACAGCUGCAACUCUCCUCAGACACUGCUGCACACCGCUGCACACACACUCACAGCGCAGAGACACACACACCUGCCGCCCAUCGCCCAGACCAUCCUACAGAGCGCUGGAGUGUGUGAGGCGUGUUCAGGCCGCAUGUUUGGCCCUGGUCUGCAGAUCCUCGUCCCCGUCUGCAGUGUGUUUGGGCUGCAGGUGUUGCCCGUCAUGUUCAGGUGCUGCUCACCUGUGUGUGUGAGAACAUUCCGGAGACACACACACACCACAUCAGCCAGAGGAACACCACAGAAGAAGAAGAUUAAACCAUAAAUACAUCAGUGUCCACACACACACACACACACACACACACACACACACACACACACACACACACUGAGAGGAGCGCUAAUGAUGAGUGUGUAGAUUCUGCAUUCUCUGUAGUGUCCUGCAGGUGUCAGUGUGCUGAUCUGAACACACUAUUGACCUGCUGACUGCUGAACAAAUUCAUGUUAAUAAUAUAAGCUGUUCACGAAACUCAACUAAUAAAAUAAAAUAUUUUUUUAAUAAUGAAACAAUUUAUUGCUGUGACAUCUAGUAAAUACACAAAGUUUUACCAUACUAGCAUGUGUGGAAGUAUUUAAAACAAGUGUGUUACAACUGGCCCUGUGUUAGGUUCUGCCCCGCUCUCCCCUAUUUUAAUUGCAUGUAUUUAUUACUUAUUUAAUUAAGUUCGGAAGACAACUCAGGCUCGCCGAAAACACUCUAGCUGCCUUUUCUCCGCCAAAAAACAGUAGGGGUUCAAUCUUCAACUGGCUGGCAGGAGCCGCCAGUGGCGGGUCACAUGACCUGCCACUGGCUGGUGGCAGCCGCCAGUGUCCAACUGUCAGGUAGCAUGACCUGCCAGUGGCAGCGCAUUUUACCCGGCAGUUGACAACUGGCAGCCAGAGCCUGGUUGGUGGCCUUCAACAACUGGCUGGUGGGUCAGGUGUCCUACCAGUGACUGCUUGGUGGAAAUUAACAACUGACUGGUGGGUCAGGUGUCCUACCAGUGGCUGUUUGGUGGACAUUAACAACUGGCUGGUGGGUCAGGUGUCCUACCAGUGGCUGUUUGGUGGACAUUAACAACUGGCUGGUGGGUCAGGUGUCCUACCAGUGGCUGUUUGUUGGACAUUAACAACUGGCUGGUGGGUCAGGUGUCCUACCAGUGGCUGUUUGGUGGCCAUUAACAACUGGCUGGUGAGUCAGGCGUCCUACCAGGGGCUGCUUGGUGGCAGUUGGCAACUGGUAGGUCAUAUGACCUUUCAUUUCAUCAAAUGUGUUAACAAUAAACAAUAUGAACAUUUUUACAGAUUUAUUCUUAAUGAUGGUAAUUUCUGAAUGUUUAUUACAAAUAAAGUGUGCUCAAAUCUACAAAAUAUGGAGGUCUGAGUUUGCUUCCCUUGCUUUUUUUAAUUUCUCUGAAAGUAAUAUAAUGGAGCUUUUCAUUUAGGCAUUGGGCACAUUAAACUAGUUAAUCAGACACAGCACUGAAAUAGCUGUCAAUACAACUGGCUGGUACUAACGUCUACCCAAGCAGCUCAGUUUAACAGUGCUUAAGCCCUCUGAGUGUGGCGUCUAAUUAGCACUCUCUUUCUGGGGAAUCAAAUUAUUAAUUUAUGAAAUGUAUAGUCUUCAUGGUAUUCUGGUUUACAUACCUUAUAUUUGCAGCAAAAAUAUUCGAAAUAAGGUUUUCAAAUGACCCUUUAACAGACUGGUGGGAUAUUGACGCUAAUCAACUUGCAGUCUCCAGCCAGUUAGCUCAGAGUUUAACGCGUUCACUUACUCUUUCUCUGCAGCUGUUUACAUUGAUUUACCAUCAUGAAUAUAAUCUUCUGGACCCUUUCUAUUAUAAAUUGGGCAUAUUAGUCAGGUUUAUUCCAGAUACAGUGCUCAAAAUUGCCAUGAUUACAACUGGCUGGUCACGCGCAGCUCCACCAGCGCACGCGCAGGUAAUGCGUAAGCGCGAUCACUAUCUUAGUCUGGCGCGUGUCCUCGCGCUCUCUUCCAGAUGAAUUACAUCUUUAAUUCAUGAAAUGUGUAUUCUUUUGUGUACACUUGUUUAGACAUUUAUAGCAGUGUUUCCUCAAAGAAACGCUUCAAACAGCCCUUAAACUGACCGGUGGGUUUGCAACACUCGCUGCGUCACCAGCCAGGUAGCCCGGAGUUUAACGCGUUCACUUUCUCUUUCUCUACAGCUGUUUACAUUGAUUUACCAUCAUUAAUAUAAUCUUCUGGACCCUUUCUAUUAUAAAUUGGGCAUAUUAGUCAGGUUUAUUCCAGAU